GACGAACUUUGGCGGCGUGCUUAACACAUGCAAGUCGAACGGAAAGGCCCUGCUUUUGUGGGGUGCACGAGUGGCGAACGGGUGAGUAACACGUGAGUAACCUGCCCUUGACUUUGGGAUAACUUCAGGAAACUGGGGCUAAUACCGGAUAGGAGCUCCUGCUGCAUGGUGGGGGUUGGAAAGUUUCGGCGGUUGGGGAUGGACUCGCGGCUUAUCAGCUUGUUGGUGGGGUAGUGGCUUACCAAGGCUUUGACGGGUAGCCGGCCUGAGAGGGUGACCGGCCACAUUGGGACUGAGAUACGGCCCAGACUCCUACGGGAGGCAGCAGUGGGGAAUAUUGCACAAUGGGCGGAAGCCUGAUGCAGCAACGCCGCGUGCGGGAUGACGGCCUUCGGGUUGUAAACCGCUUUCGCCUGUGACGAAGCGUGAGUGACGGUAAUGGGUAAAGAAGCACCGGCUAACUACGUGCCAGCAGCCGCGGUGAUACGUAAGGUGCGAGCGUUGUCCGGAUUUAUUGGGCGUAAAGGGCUCGUAGGUGGUUGAUCGCGUCGGAAGUGUAAUCUUGGGGCUUAACCCUGAGCGUGCUUUCGAUACGGGUUGACUUGAGGAAGGUAGGGGAGAAUGGAAUUCCUGGUGGAGCGGUGGAAUGCGCAGAUAUCAGGAGGAACACCAGUGGCGAAGGCGGUUCUCUGGGCCUUUUCCUGACGCUGAGGAGCGAAAGCGUGGGGAGCGAACAGGCUUAGAUACCCUGGUAGUCCACGCUGUAAACGGUGGGUACUAGGUGUGGGGUCCAUUCCACGGGUUCCGUGCCGUAGCUAACGCUUUAAGUACCCCGCCUGGGGAGUACGGCCGCAAGGCUAAAACUCAAAGGAAUUGACGGGGCCCCGCACAAGCGGCGGAGCAUGCGGAUUAAUUCGAUGCAACGCGUAGAACCUUACCUGGGUUUGACAUGGAUCGGGAGUGCUCAGAGAUGGGUGUGCCUCUUUUGGGGUCGGUUCACAGGUGGUGCAUGGCUGUCGUCAGCUCGUGUCGUGAGAUGUUGGGUUAAGUCCCGCAACGAGCGCAACCCUUGUUCACUGUUGCCAGCACGUUAUGGUGGGGACUCAGUGGAGACCGCCGGGGUCAACUCGGAGGAAGGUGGGGAUGACGUCAAGUCAUCAUGCCCCUUAUGUCCAGGGCUUCACGCAUGCUACAAUGGCUGGUACAGAGAGUGGCGAGCCUGUGAGGGUGAGCGAAUCUCGGGAAGCCGGUCUCAGUUCGGAUUGGGGUCUGCAACUCGACCUCAUGAAGUCGGAGUCGCUAGUAAUCGCAGAUCAGCAACGCUGCGGUGAAUACGUUCCCGGGGCU
rnacentral:rRNA from 1 species